ACUUCACGUUCAAAUUUCAAAACCCAAAAAAAACCCCACCUCUGCCGCUCCCUUCUUCUUCCUCAGGCCAAGCUAAAAAAAAUCCCAGCUUCACCGACCCAGACGACGGUGAGAGAAGCACGUCGUCGAAUGGGUUUCCGAAGGGGGCCGUGGUCUACCUGGAGAGGGAGAGAGAAAUCAGUGUGAAAUAAGAGAAAGGAGGAGAAUUAAGAAAAAGUAAAGGAAUUCCAUCUUGAAGUCUUUUAGGGUUCAAUUUGUCACGAGCGUCUUUCUUGUGUUGGAUGUACCAGUGUUCUAUCCCAUGCUACUAGAUUCAAGAAAAAGAAGAAAUGGAAAGCUAAAGACCUGUAUAUCGUUCAAGGAGAAAUGUGAAAUUUUAGGCAGAAUGUUCACUGCUAACUUUCGUUUUGUUUGUAGUUGAGCAAAACCCCAUCUUGUGAUAGAGUUUUUCCUAAGCGUAAAGGCAUGUUGAAUUAAGAUAAGCACAAGUAUUUGGUCAUUGAUUCAUUGCAACUAUUUGUUAUGUUUUGAUCGGUGAAUCUUGUAAUAAGAGUUUUUUCAAAGUGUAAAUGCAUGUUGAAUUAAGAUUUGUACAAGUAUUUGGGCAUUGAUUCAUUGCAACUAUUUGAUAUGUUUU